rnacentral:miRNA from 1 species
AGAAUUUGAUGUGAUUCAGCCAUU